UCGCAAGGUCCUCCUGAUUUCAUUUCUAAUUCCUGCAUCUACAGCUUUCAGCUGCCUUUACUGCUCCACUGUCUCCAUCCACUUGUCACAGAUGGCUUCUUUAAUAAUCCUCCUAUCUUUGUCUCUAAUUGUUGCAUCUACAGACCAGACAAACAUCACAGCUGAGUCUGGGCAGAACAUCUCGCUGCCAUGUGGAGCUCCAACUAAUAAUGAGCAGAUCUUGGCUGUUCAGUGGAGCAGAGCUGACCUGAAGCAAGAAUAUGUGCUUUUGUACAGAGAUGAGGUUUUUGCUCCAGACAACCAGCAUCCAUCUUUUAAGAACCGGGUGGAUCUGCAGGACAGACAGAGGAAGGAUGGAGACGUGUCUUUGAUUCUGAAGAAUGUGACAGCUGCUGAUAAUGGGACAUAUGAGUGUCGUGUCUUCAGGAGAGGAACAAACCACAGGAUUAGUACCAUCAGCCUGAGUGUUGUUCCUCCAUGUGAGUUAUUAAAGGGUGCAUCACGAGAACACACAGCAGAUGGAGAGGAGACAGGUGGAGUCAGCAGAGGACGCUUUGGACUGGUAGCUGCUCUGUCUGCUUUUGUUGUGAUCAUCACUGUGAUAGCUGUGAUUUCCAAGAAAUAGAAGAAGAAUACUCCCACUUCCUCCCCAUCUUGAGGAACAAGAGUUAUAUGGCUCUGGUCUGAAACAGACAACUGGGAACUUUUCUGUGAGAGCAGAAGAACAACCAGAGUCUGACAUUAAAGUGAUGAAGACCAGCAGAAAGCUGACAUGUCUUCUUCAGCUCUUCCUCAGCAGAGGAAAGAUUUCUUUAUAUUCCAGAGAAAUUGUUCGCACUGCACCAAAACAAUACUGACACAACUUUUCUAUGAGGGAGUCAGUGUUCAUCUUAGAUGUAGAACAAACUGUGGCUCCAUGAGAAGAAACACACAUUAGAUUUGUGAUAGCUGUGAUGUUUCUGUGAAAACCAUUAAGGUUAUGUACACAUCCUGAAAGGCUGCACACGAAUGAGGAGGAGAAACAGUGUGUAUGUUUAAGUCUCAGUUCAAAAAUGUUCAGUUCAAGAGUCUUGUUUAUUCUCACCAACAACGUUUGUGUCAUAAUGUGCAACCUUUAAGAGACCCUUUAUAAAACCACAUAACAAAGUUAAUGUGUUUGUGAGUUAAAGUUGUUGAGCUUGCCUCCAGCUCCCUGUGACUCUCCUGCAUUAAUUAAAUCCAGCUGUACUGAGAAUAGGUAAAAGGACUAAUUUACUCUAUAACUCUGGAUCGUUUUGCCACCUCUGUCUUACUAAAGUAUUGGCAACCUUGGAUACCACAGAGACCUCUUGUGGACAUUAAGGAUUAAGGGUUAACCCUAAUCCUUGCUUGUGAGUGUUUAUUACCCCAGCAGAAGGUGAUGUCAUCACUAUUUAUUAUAGAUUGAUUAUAGAGUUGUCUGCUUCUGUCUUACACACACACACACACACACACACACACACACACACACACACACAUUAUAUUUGAUUAGGCCAGGCUGGCAUAUACCACAUGCUCUUCAUAUAUUUCACAUUGAGGGCUAAUAUUUGUAUAAACUUUUGCUUACCAUGUAUCUAUCCCAUCUGCACAGUGUGGGGGACCAUAAACUUGUCCUAGUAGACUUUAAGAAUAAAGACAUGAAGGUGGAAAUGAACACAUUAACUUCAGGUGAUCACAUUACUAAUAGUGUUUGUUUGACUACCUGUUGUACACCUGUGUGAAUACAUGUGUGAGUGCACUUGUGUUCAUAAAGCUUAAUUUAAAGUAAAAAAGUAAAAAAAAUUGC